AUUGAACGCUGGCGGCAGGCUUAACACAUGCAAGUCGAGCGGGGUGAUGGUGCUUGCACUAUCACUUAGCGGCGGACGGGUGAGUAAUGCUUAGGAAUCUGCCUAUUAGUGGGGGACAACAUCUCGAAAGGGAUGCUAAUACCGCAGACGUCCUACGGGAGAAAGCAGGGGAUCACUUGUGACCUUGCGCUAAUAGAUGAGCCUAAGUCGGAUUAGCUAGUUGGUGGGGUAAAGGCCUACCAAGGCGACGAUCUGUAGCGGGUCUGAGAGGAUGGACCGCCACACUGGGACUGGGACACGGCCCAGACGCCUACGAGAGGCAGCAGUGUGGAAUAUUGGCCAAUGGGAGGAGCCCUGAUCCAUCCAUGCCGCGUGUGUGAAGAAGGCCUUAUGGUUGUAAAGCACUUUAAGCGAGGCGGAGGCUCUUUUGGUUAAUACCCAAGAUGAGUGGACGUUACUCGCAGAAUAAGCACCGGCUAACUCUGUGCCAGCCGCCGCAGUAA
rnacentral:rRNA from 1 species